rnacentral:tRNA from 2 species
GCUGGUGUAGCUCAAUCUGGCAGAGCAACUGAUUUGUAAUCAGUAGGUUGCAGGUUCAAUUCCUGUCACCAGCUCCA